UUUGUUUUUGUUUUUAUAAAAAUUUGAAUUUCUUAUCAAAUAGAAAUUUAUUAAACUUCAUUAUUUUGAAAUUUUGAUAAAACGAAAGUCUUUUUCAAGACUUCAAUUAUUGAAAUUUUGAAAUAUUAAAAUUUAAAAAACAAAAACAAGCAACUUUCCAAGAAGUUAGAAACCUAAAAGGUUAAAAUAUAUUUAAUAUAUUUCACUAAUAUUAGUCCUGAAGAAGGGUAUAAGCAUACCCGAAACGUCGACUAGUACUAACAAAGUAUAUCGAAGAAAGACCUAUAGCCCACGGAAAAAGUAAAAUUUAUUUUACUAAAAAAGGUCACAAAAGGAGGAAUUAAUUA